GACGAACGCUGGCGGCGUGCUUAACACAUGCAAGUCGAACGGAAAGGCCCUGCUUUUGUGAGGUGCUCGAGUGGCGAACGGGUGAGUAACACGUGAGUAACCUGCCCUUGACUUUGGGAUAACUUCAGGAAACUGGGGCUAAUACCGGAUAGGAGCUCCUGCUGCAUGGUGGGGGUUGGAAAGUUUCGGCGGUUGGGGAUGGACUCGCGGCUUAUCAGCUUGUUGGUGGGGUAGGGGCUUACCAAGGCUUUGACGGGUAGCCGGCCUGAGAGGGUGACCGGCCACAAUGGGACUGAGAUACGGCCCAGACUCCUACGGGAGGCAGCAGUGGGGAAUAUUGCACCAUGGGCGGAAGCCUUAUGCAGCAACGCCGCGUGCGGGAUGACGGCCUUCGGGUUGUAAACCGCUUUCGCCUGUGACGAAGCGUGAGUGACGGUAAUGGGUAAAGAAGCACCGGCUAACUACGUG
rnacentral:rRNA from 1 species